UGCCACAGCCAUGUCACCCUGCAGCCCAAAACCAGUUGCUCACUAAAGCUAAGCAGGGCUGAGUCUGGUCAUUAACUGGAUAGUAGACCACAUUGGAAGGCUAGGUUGCUGUUGGAA
ensembl:rRNA 5S_rRNA 5S ribosomal RNA